rnacentral:miRNA from 1 species
UGUGGCUAUUGUGAGAAAGCAU